rnacentral:rRNA from 1 species
UACGUAGGGGGCAAGCGUUGUCCGGAUUUAUUGGGCGUAAAGAGCGUGUAGGCGGCUUUGCAGGUCCGCUGUGAAAACUCUAGGCUCAACCUCGAGCUGUCGGUGGAAACCGUAAAGCUAGAGUCCGGAAGAGGAGAGUGGAAUUCCCGGUGUAGCGGUGAAAUGCGCAGAUAUCGGGAAGAACACCCGUGGCGAAGGCGGCUCUCUGGGACGGUACUGACGCUGAGACGCGAAAGCGUGGGGAGCGAACAGG